rnacentral:rRNA from 1 species
AUUGAACGCUGGCGGUAUGCUUAACACAUGCAAGUCGAACGGUAACAGGCCUUCGGGCGCUGACGAGUGGCGGACGGGUGAGUAACGCGUAGGAAUCUGCCUCAUAGUGGGGGACAACUUGGGGAAACUCAAGCUAAUACCGCAUACGCCCUACGGGGGAAAGCGGGGGACCUUCGGGCCUCGCGCUAUGAGAUGAGCCUGCGUUAGAUUAGCUAGUUGGUGGGGUAAAGGCCUACCAAGGCGACGAUCUAUAGCUGGUCUGAGAGGACGAUCAGCCACACUGGGACUGAGACACGGCCCAGACUCCUACGGGAGGCAGCAGUGGGGAAUAUUGGACAAUGGGCGCAAGCCUGAUCCAGCAAUACCGCGUGUGUGAAGAAGGCCUUCGGGUUGUAAAGCACUUUCAAUUGGGAGGAAAACCUACCGGUCAAUACCCGGUAGCUUGACAUUACCUUUAGAAGAAGCACCGGCUAACUCCGUGCCAGCAGCCGCGGUAAUACGGAGGGUGCAAGCGUUAAUCGGAAUUACUGGGCGUAAAGCGUGCGUAGGCGGUUCGUUAAGUCAGAUGUGAAAGCCCCGGGCUCAACCUGGGAACUGCAUUUGAAACUGGCGGACUCGAGUUGAGUAGAGGGGAGUGGAAUUUCAGGUGUAGCGGUGAAAUGCGUAGAUAUCUGAAGGAACACCAGUGGCGAAGGCGACUCCCUGGACUCAAACUGACGCUGAGGUACGAAAGCGUGGGUAGCAAACAGGAUUAGAUACCCUGGUAGUCCACGCCGUAAACGAUGUCAACUAGCCGUUGGUCCUUUUAACAGGAUUAGUGGCGCAGCUAACGCAUUAAGUUGACCGCCUGGGGAGUACGGCCGCAAGGUUAAAACUCAAAUGAAUUGACGGGGGCCCGCACAAGCGGUGGAGCAUGUGGUUUAAUUCGAUGCAACGCGAAGAACCUUACCUACCCUUGACAUCCAGAGAAUCUGUUAGAGAUAGUAGAGUGCCUUCGGGAACUCUGAGACAGGUGCUGCAUGGCUGUCGUCAGCUCGUGUU